rnacentral:lncRNA from 1 species
GUAAUUUUUCAUCAGACAGUUGCACACUUCAUGAGAUAAACAAUCACAUAAAAUUUUGUUUGGAAGAGACCAGAAAAACCAUAUGAUGACUGGAAAUAUGAGGGGAAGAGGAUGAAAGGGCAUGGUCGUAUGAUUUUCGUCACUUCGACUGCCUUCUUCUGGAGGAUUAUGUACGUUCUUUUUACUUUUUCCGCUGUUUUCCUUCCCCUUCGAUGAGUAAAACUAACUUCAUCACCAUUCUUUGUCUCCCUUUCUUUCUCCACGUCCGCCAUCCCCUUCUCUUACCCGAUUCUUAUGACUACCCACUGUAAUCCUCCCAAUUCCACGUAGCUCCGCCCAUGUUCACAAGUUCUAAGCACUGGAAGCAAAAAGAAAGCAACUCAUGCCCCCCUGAAACUAGGAUAUUUCCCGCCGGAGUGGGUAAAAGAGCAAUUUUUCAGGACCCGUCACUCCCAAUUCUUUGACUGUUUAUUUUUUUUUCUUUCAGAACCAAAGUUGGGAAUCGGGGUUUGUGUACUGAUAAUGUUGCAUUGCCUAAGUUUUACCCGUUGGAACUAUAGAUGUAAAAACUUGAGUCAGGAAUUCCACAGCAUUGGCAAAAAAGAUUUUCUAUUUGAUGCAAAUAAAUAUUUGAAGGAGUUGGCGAACUCCGGUCGAAUUGAUGAAGCUAGGAAAGUGUUUGAUGCAAUGCCUAAGAGAGACGAGUUUUCGUGGAAUACAAUGAUUUCUGGGUAUGCAAAUUUAGGAAGGUUUGUUGAAGCUAGGACACUCUUCGACGAGACUCCAAAAAUGAGUGCAAUUACUUGGGCAUCAUUUAUUUCUGGAUACUGUAAAAUGGGGUGUGAAAUUGAGAGUAUUGAACUGUUUUGGCAAAUGCUAUGCGAGGGGCACAAGCCCAGUAAGUUUGUGUUGGGAAAUGUGCUUAGGAUGUGCUCUAUUAAGCGUCUACUUUCAAGAGGUGAACAAACUCAUGGUUAUGCUGUUAAGACACAAUUUGAUAGGGAUGUCUUCAUUGUUACUGGGCUAAUUGACAUGUACGUGAAAUGUUGUCGUGUUCUUGAAGCUGAAUAUCUUUUUAAAAAGAUGGCUAGUGGGAAAAAUCAUGUUACAUGGACUGCUAUGAUUAAUGGUUAUUCGCUAAAUAGUGAUGCUGACAAAGCAAUUCAAUGCUUUAGGGGUAUGAGGUCUGAAGGGGUAGAGGCCAACCAGUAUACAUUCCCAGCAGUGUUGACAGCUUGUGGAUCUGUUUCUGAUCUUAUGUUUGGGGUGCAGGUGCAUAGUUGUGUUGUUCAUGGUGGUUUUGGUGAUAAUGUGUUUGUUCAAAGUGCGUUGGUCAAUAUGUAUGCCAAGUGUGGGGACUUGAGAAGUGCCAGGAAAGCAUUAGAGUCAAGGGAGGUUGUUGAUGUGAUUUCAUGGAAUGCCAUGAUAGUUGGGUGUGUGAGACAGGGUUCCUCAGAGGAUGCAUUGUCAUUAUUUCGUACAAUGCAUGCAAAACGUAUGGAAUUUGAUGAGUUCACAUACCCCUCCAUCCUCAAUGCUCUUGCUUCCAAGAAAGAUGUAAUAAAUGGGAAAUCCGUCCACUCUUUGAUCUUCAAAACUGGAUUUGAGAAUUACAAACUUGUAAGCAAUGCUCUAGUCGAUAUGUAUGCUAAGCAGAAUGACUUAGAUAGCGCUUCUAAGGUGUUCAAUUUUCUGGAGGAAAAGGAUGUUGUUUCCUGGACCUCCCUUGUCACUGGUUGUGCUCACAAUGGCCGCCAUGAAGAAGCUUUGAAGUUUUUUUGUGAAAUGAGAACCGAUGGGAUUAAUCCUGACCAAAUUGUCACUGCCAGCAUUUUGAGUUCCUGCGCAGAGUUGGCAUUGUUAGAUUUCGGGCUACAAGUUCAUGCAAAUUUCAUUAAGUCAGAACUUGGAACGUCCUUAUCAGUUGAUAAUUCUCUUAUAACAAUGUAUGCAAAUUGUGGGUGCCUGGAACAUGUCAAUAAAAUUUUUGCCUCAAUGCAAAUUCGAAACGUGAUCACUUGGACAGCUCUUAUAGUUGGUUACGCGCAAAAUGGUAAAGGAAUGGAGUCUCUCCGAUUCUAUGAUGAAAUGAUAGCUUGUGGGACUAAACCUGACUAUAUUACUUUUAUAGGCUUACUAUUUUCUUGCAGCCAUGCAGGUCUCGUUGAACUUGGUCGCUAUUACUUUGCGUCCAUGGUAAAAGAUUAUGGCAUAAGGCCUGGUCCUGAUCACUAUGCCUGUAUGAUCGAUCUUUUGGGUCGAUCAGGGAAAAUGCAUGAGGCACAAAGUUUACUGGAAGAAAUGGAUAUCAAACCUGAUGCAACUGUUUGGAAAGCAUUGCUUGCUGCAUGUAGAGUACAUAGGAAUGUUAAUCUGGCAAAGAGAGCGGCAACUGCUCUCUUUGAAUUGGAACCUCGAGAUGCUGUCCCUUAUGUCAUGUUAUCAAAUAUAUAUUCUGCAACGGGAAAUUGGGAAGAAGCUGCUGCAGUUAGAAGAUUGAUGAAAUCAAGAGGCAUCAGCAAGGAACCUGGACGUAGUUGGAUGGAAGUAAACAGCAAAGUGCACACCUUUGUGUCUGAAGAUAGAAAUCAUCCAAACGCAGACGAGAUUUACUUGAAGCUUGAUGAUAUUGUAAAGUUGAUUAAGGAAGCGGGUUAUGUGCCUGACAUGAAUUUCGCUCUUCAUGACAUUAAUGAAGAGGGCAAGGAACAUGGUCUCGCCUAUCACAGUGAGAAAUUGGCAGUUGCUUUUGGGCUUCUCUGCGUGCCACAAGGAGCACCGAUUCGGAUAUAUAAGAACCUUCGGGUCUGUGGUGACUGCCAUACUUCCAUGAAGUUCAUAUCAGAUAUUUUUCAAUGCCAUAUUAUUUUAAGGGAUUCAAAUUGUUUUCAUCAUUUUAAAGAAGGAAUGUGUUCUUGUGGGGAUUACUGGUAGGAAGUGCAUCCUCUUACUUGUUCGAUCUGAAUCUCCCUUUAAGAAGCAUGAGGUUUGAUAAGCUAUUCUGUGUGAUUAGAUGGUCGAUAACGGUGUCAAUGUUUGUGAUAGCCACGUUUUCAUCAAACCAUCACCAGGAUAGAUCUGAAGUGGAAUUUGGAGUGGUUUACUUACCCCGGUGUGGACCACCUACAUCCUAAUAUUGUUCUUCUCGUGGCUGGUUGUGCUCUUCGUUGUUGGUUGUUCCCUUGGCUUGGCAUGGACCAUUGUUCAUCUCUCACAUUUCCUUCAACGUUCUAAAUUAUUGUUGAUUUAGUGAUUAUAUUUAUUUGUGAUGGUAAGGAGCAGAAAUAUUGUUUAUAUUUUUUCUACCUGUUAGGGUUUGGUUUAAUUAAUUUUGUCUGUGCUGGAAGGUUCGUUGUGUUUUUGAGCAAGGAUAGACUGGUUUAUGGAUCUGACUUUGAUGAUUUUUAUGUUUAAUGUGUAUCGUCCAAGGAUAAUGAUUUCCCAGCUGAGAAUUAAGUAAAAAAAUUAACUGGUUAUAUAAUAGUUGUUGUUCUUAUGGAAUCAAAGAUUAAAUUGAACAUUUACAUACCACUUUUUAUCAGUGAUAACUACAAAAAAAAAAAAAAAAAUUGUUUUUGAUGUUUAAUGGGGGUAUGGUCCAAGGAGAAAGAUUUACCUGCUUAGAAUUAAUUAGAAAACCAUUUAGGUAAUAAUUGUGAUUCUUUGUGGAAUCUAUUUGAUAAAAUUUUUAAUGCCAAUAUGGUGUUCAGAGAAUAAUUUACUAGCUGAGAAUUAAGCAGAAAAAUUAACCAUUUAUGCAAUCAUUGUGGUUCUUGUGGAAUCUAUGAUUUGAUUAAACUUCAGACAACUUUUUUACAGUGUUGAAUAUGUUUUAGAGCUCUAUAGCUUAUGUAUGAGUUAAUCAAGGAACCUCUCUGUGGUCAUGGAUGUUAGUGGAAUUUUGCAACUACUCAACCACAGGGUUCAGUGAAUUGUGUCCAUGAGGGCAUACAAACUACUUUAUCAGCAUGAUCUAACAUAUUAUUAUGUGAUCCCUUGCUUAUGGGCCCCAAUUAGUUCCUUUAUUGAUUUCAUCCUAAACAAACUUUUACAGACAGUGUACUUUCUCUAGGUCUUUGUACCUGCUAGGAUAGAGCUUGUAUUUUGUAUGUAAAUGUGCUGAAUUUUCUUAUAUGUGGUCUAGGUUGCUUAUCAAUGCUUUCACUGGUAGAAGGGAACAACAUUUUCAGAUGAUCAGGGCAUCUACAAUAUGUUGACUUGAUGGGAGCAAAUAGACAAUUGCAAGCAGCUUACUCGCAUCAGGAAGUUUUUGACAGUCAUACCCAUGGUGCUGUUAGUAUUCUCCCAAUCUUGAUUAUAUGUUUGCUCCUCAUUAGUUAUUAAAUCGACUUUUAUCUUAUAAAUAGCUAUUGAUUUUGAAAUGGCAUGGUUGUUGUUGAUAUUGAGUCCUUCAAACAUUGUUAUACAGUUUUGCAAUAGGCCUUUUUCUGGUAAGGUGUGAAAUGAUAAUGCCAUCCAAAUACUUAUCUAGC